rnacentral:rRNA from 1 species
UACGUAGGUGACAAGCGUUGUCCGGAUUUACUGGGCGUAAAGAGCGCGCAGGCGGUCGUUCAAGUCGAGUGUGAAAGCCCCCGGCUCAACUGGGGAGGGUCACUCGAUACUGAUCGACUCGAAGGCAGGAGAGGGAAGUGGAAUUCCCGGUGUAGUGGUGAAAUGCGUAGAUAUCGGGAGGAACACCAGUGGCGAAGGCGACUUCCUGGCCUGUUCUUGACGCUGAGGCGCGAAGGCUAGGGGAGCAAACGGG